UGUCGUCAGCUCGUGUCGUGAGAUGUUGGGUUAAGUCCCGCAACGAGCGCAACCCUUGUCCUUAGUUGCUACGCAAGAGCACUCUAAGGAGACUGCCGGUGACAAACCGGAGGAAGGUGGGGAUGACGUCAAGUCCUCAUGGCCCUUAUGGGUAGGGCUUCACACGUCAUACAAUGGUCGGAACAGAGGGUUGCCAACCCGCGAGGGGGAGCUAAUCCCAGAAAACCGAUCGUAGUCCGGAUUGCACUCUGCAACUCGAGUGCAUGAAGCUGGAAUCGCUAGUAAUCGCGGAUCAGCAUGCCGCGGUGAAUACGUUCCCGGGUCUU
rnacentral:rRNA from 1 species